GCACUUCCACCAGAGCUGGUCAGAUUACUAAUUCCUUUCAAUAUUUAUGGGCCAUAAAAUCUCCUGUUUGAAACACCCUUCCCCCUUCCCUCUGUCUCUACCCCAAACAAGAAGAGGAUCUAAGAGAGUGUUAGACAUUAUGAUUUCUCCAGUUUGCAGAAUGAGGACUAAUAAGAUUUUUAGCAAUGAUGGUCCGCACACGCCUAAUGAUCAACUGUUGUAUGAUUAAUUGAGG
rnacentral:misc_RNA from 1 species